UACAGAGGUCUCAAGCGUUGUUCGGAAUCACUGGGCGUAAAGGGUGCGUAGGCGGCGCGGUAAGUCGGAUGUGAAAUCUCGGAGCUUAACUUCGAAACUGCAUUCGAUACUGCCGUGCUUGAGGACUGGAGAGGAGACUGGAAUUUACGGUGUAGCGGUGAAAUGCGUAGAUAUCGUAAGGAAGACCAGUGGCGAAGGCGGGUCUCUGGACAGUUCCUGACGCUGAGGCACGAAGGUCAGGGGAGCAAACGGG
rnacentral:rRNA from 1 species